rnacentral:rRNA from 1 species
AACGGACGCUGGCGGCAGGCCUAACACAUGCAAGUCGAGCGCCCCGCAAGGGGAGCGGCAGACGGGUGAGUAACGCGUGGGAAUCUACCCAUCCCUACGGAACAACUCCGGGAAACUGGAGCUAAUACCGUAUACGCCCUUCGGGGGAAAGAUUUAUCGGGGAUGGAUGAGCCCGCGUUGGAUUAGCUAGUUGGUGGGGUAAUGGCCUACCAAGGCGACGAUCCAUAGCUGGUCUGAGAGGAUGAUCAGCCACACUGGGACUGAGACACGGCCCAGACUCCUACGGGAGGCAGCAGUGGGGAAUAUUGGACAAUGGGCGCAAGCCUGAUCCAGCCAUGCCGCGUGAGUGAUGAAGGCCCUAGGGUUGUAAAGCUCUUUCACCGGUGAAGAUAAUGACGGUAACCGGAGAAGAAGCCCCGGCUAACUUCGUGCCAGCAGCCGCCGUAAUAC